GGACACUUAGCUCAACGGGAGAGCGCUUCCUUCACACGGAAGAGGUCACAGGUUCAACACCUGUAGUGUCCACCA
rnacentral:tRNA from 1 species